rnacentral:rRNA from 1 species
GGAUUUUGUUUGAAAGGUGGCUUCGGCUAUCACUUCUGGAUGAUCCCGCGGCGUAUUAGUUAGUUGGUGAGGUAAAGGCCCACCAAGACGAUGAUACGUAGCCGACCUGAGAGGGUAAUCGGCCACAUUGGGACUGAGACACGGCCCAAACUCCUACGGGAGGCAGCAGUAGGGAAUCUUCCACAAUGGACGAAAGUCUGAUGGAGCAAUGCCGCGUGAGUGAAGAAGGGUUUCGGCUCGUAAAACUCUGUUGUUAAAGAAGAACACCUUUGAGAGUAACUGUUCAAGGGUUGACGGUAUUUAACCAGAAAGCCACGGCUAACUACGUGCCAGCAGCCGCGGUAAUACGUAGGUGGCAAGCGUUGUCCGGAUUUAUUGGGCGUAAAGCGAGCGCAGGCGGUUUUUUAAGUCUGAUGUGAAAGCCUUCGGCUUAACCGGAGAAGUGCAUCGGAAACUGGGAGACUUGAGUGCAGAAGAGGACAGUGGAACUCCAUGUGUAGCGGUGGAAUGCGUAGAUAUAUGGAAGAACACCAGUGGCGAAGGCGGCUGUCUAGUCUGUAACUGACGCUGAGGCUCGAAAGCAUGGGUAGCGAACAGGAUUAGAUACCCUGGUAGUCCAUGCCGUAAACGAUGAGUGCUAAGUGUUGGAGGGUUUCCGCCCUUCAGUGCUGCAGCUAACGCAUUAAGCACUCCGCCUGGGGAGUACGACCGCAAGGUUGAAACUCAAAGGAAUUGACGGGGGCCCGCACAAGCGGUGGAGCAUGUGGUUUAAUUCGAAGCUACGCGAAGAACCUUACCAGGUCUUGACAUCUUCUGCCAAUCUUAGAGAUAAGACGUUCCCUUCGGGGACAGAAUGACAGGUGGUGCAUGGUUGUCGUCAGCUCGUGUCGUGAGAUGUUGGGUUAAGUCCCGCAACGAGCGCAACCCUUAUUAUCAGUUGCCAGCAUUCAGUUGGGCACUCUGGUGAGACUGCCGGUGACAAACCGGAGGAAGGUGGGGAUGACGUCAAAUCAUCAUGCCCCUUAUGACCUGGGCUACACACGUGCUACAAUGGACGGUACAACGAGUCGCGAAGUCGUGAGGCUAAGCUAAUCUCUUAAAGCCGUUCUCAGUUCGGAUUGUAGGCUGCAACUCGCCUACAUGAAGUUGGAAUCGCUAGUAAUCGCGGAUCAGCAUGCCGCGGUGAAUACGUUCCCGGGCCUUGUACACACCGCCCGUCACAC